UACGGAGGAUCCGAGCGUUAUCCGGAUUUAUUGGGUUUAAAGGGUGCGUAGGUGGAUUGGUAAGUCAGUGGUGAAAGUUUGCAGCUUAACUGUAAAAUUGCCGUUGAAACUGCCGGUCUUGAGUGCAAAUGAGGUAGGCGGAAUGCGUCGUGUAGCGGUGAAAUGCUUAGAUAUGACGCAGAACUCCGAUUGCGAAGGCAGCUUACUGGGAUGCAACUGACGCCGAGGCACGAAAGCGUGGGUAUCAAACAGGAUUAGAUACCCU
rnacentral:rRNA from 1 species